GCCUGGCUGGCUCAUUUGGUAGAGUACGUGACUCUUGAUCUUGGGGUUGUGAGUUUGAGCCCCAUGUCAGGUG
rnacentral:tRNA from 1 species